UUUCUGAUAAGGGGGAGCAGUAGUAGGGGGGAGACCGGCCCCGGUCUCUUGGAUGGUACCAGGGACUCCCCGACAGGUCCUCACCCAGGAAAUAGAUGAGCAAGGUGGGCUUGAUACCGGGAACUGGGGUCAUAGAAGGACAGGAGAGAGAGAGAGAGAGAGAGAGAGAGAGAGAGAGAGAGAGAGAGAGAGAGAGAGAGAGAGAGAGAGCAAGAGAGAGAGGCUGAGAGAGAGAGAGAGAGAGAGAGAGAGAGAGAGAGAGAGAGAGAGAGAGAGAGAGAGAGAGGCUGAGAGAGAGGCUGAGAGAGAGAGAGAGAGAGAGAGAGAGAGAGAGAGAGAGAGAGAGAGAGAGAGAGAGAGAGAGAGAGACGGAGAGAGAGACGGAGACCCAGCACUGCCUCACUGAUACUGGGUCUCCGGCUCUCUUCCCCCCCUCCCUCGGCUCUCUCUCUCUUCUCUCUUUUUUCUUUCCAAACAGGCAACUCUGUCUUGAACCGGUGCCAAUGUAGGCUGGCCCAAGCCGCUGCAGCUGAAACUUUAACAAGCGGCCGCGGCGGGGAGCAGGAAGACGGGAGACACACGGCGGUUUGUGAAGGCAGGCUCGUUCUCUGGGCUCCCUUUCAGGCUCGGGGAUCCGCCGCCUCAGGUCCAGACUUUGUUUGGAUGGAAAUCGCUUUUUCUAUUUUUUGUGAUUAUUUAGCUAUUCUCUUUUAAACCAGGAACUUGGGAUUUCAGCGGCUGGCAGCAGCUGUGGCUGUGGACGCUACAGUAUUUGUUUAUUUCUGUAUUUAAAGGCACGGGGGGGGGGGGGGGGGGGAAAGGAAUAGUUUUGAUUGAAGAGCAGAAUUGAGAGCAGACAGUGACGUCACGGAGGCAGCAGUCCAGGAUAAUGCCUGAGGAGUCACGAGAACCAGAGCUAAAUAUUUCCAGUCUUGUUCCACGGAGACCGGUGCGUUCUGUUUCUGUGGAGAGAGGCACGUUGGGCGCAUUGUUUAUGGCAUCACGUAAAAACAAGAUACCGAUGCUUUUUCUUUUCCACAGGUCUAUUUUGGGCGUUUCUUUUUUGGGGUCCGUUCAUAUUUUUUCAAUUUUUUUCCCACAAAGCAUAUCGCAAUAAAGCGCUGGAAGGUGCAGGAGCAAGGACAGAGCGAGGAGGAGAGAGGGAGAGAGAGAGGGAGCAGGAGAGAGAGGAGAGAGAGAGAGAGAGAGAGAGAGAGAGAGAGAGAGAGAGAGAGAGAGAGAGAGAGAGAGAGGUGGAACGACUACCGAAAAUGGGAAGCGCGAGGCAGUGCCUCACAGCGAUGCCAAGUGCUGACAAAAGAUUUUACUGUGGGGUUUCGCUGAGAAGUCUCUAAGUUAUUCUGCUGUUUCACCCUUAAAACGCCACGGGAACGUAUCAGGGGCCAGACGGCGGAGACACACGCAUCUGUUGAGGCAUCUGGUGUCGUAUUAAGAUAACACGUAAGUAUACUUUGCGUCUCCUACUUACUUAAUCACAACUUAUGCUCCCUGCACUGCUCUUCCUCACUCUCAUUCACCCCCUCAGCCCCCAAGCAGCCCGUGGCUAAGAGAGAUGUCUGUCUUUGACAUCACAGAAUCUGGAGGGAGGGAGUUUUUCUGGGGGGGGGGGGGGGGGGGGGCUGCAAGUUAGUGACUGCAAACGCAUCAAAGUGAAUCACAGUGUUGUGCUGUUUCACAGCUUGUUUCAUCUCUGCGGAUCUCGGUUGUUUUUUUUGGCGGCUGGAGUCUCGGUUGUCUUUAUUUUAUUAUUCUGUUUUCGUUUGGUUCGGUCUGAGCUAGUCUCGGUGGGUUCGGAUCUGUCUUUCUAUUUGGGCUGGGGCUGGUCUGAGUUGAUUUUUUCCGAUUUUUAUAUUUUGUCUUCGGUUGAGGCUAGUCUGUUGGUUGUAUUUUUCAUAUAUUUUCGUUUUAUUUCGGCUGGGUUUGGUCUGGGCUUUGUCCAGUCGCAGUGUGUAUAUUUCUUUAUACUUGGGGUUCGUCGGGCUGGAUCCUGUUGUGUUUUUUUUAUCUCUUAAACAUCCGAACUGGGAUCGGUCCGGCCUCGUUCCGGUCGUAUUCGACACAUAUUCUGAUAUUUAUCCUCGGUUGGAGCUCGUCUCAGUUGUAUAUUAUAUAUAUUUCCACGUUUCAACUCGGCUUGGAGCCGUUCUCUGCUGUAUUUUACGUCUAUUCCGGUGUGCUUCGACCUGGGAGCGAGGUCUUGGGGCCUGUUGCAACCGGACAGAGUGGGCAGGCAGAGAGGGCACAGCCACUUCGCUACCCCCCAGCCCCCUGGCUCAGCUGGGUUUGCUCGCAACUACACAGCUCAGCCUUUUCCUCCUGACGACCGGACAAAAUGGAUGUGGAAGUGUGUUCUCGAUUGGCCCUCCAUGUCGACCCCUUCUGCGAGUCUUUCUGUUCGGGUUCUGCCGAUCGCUCUGGGCCUACGCUACGGGUCAUCUACUGCUAGCCCGUCCUGUAGAAACCCCCCGUCCCCCCUUCCAGCAAGGGACUCCAGGCAAAUAAACAAAAUGGAGAUUCCUUCUAAGCCACGACCACCAGAUUGAAAGCCCGGCGAGGUUCAACCUGCCGCGCUCAACAUCAGGUUAACGCCGCGUGCCAUCAUGAACAUGGAUGAUGAUUACAUUUCUGAACCGUCUCUCUGGUCCGCAUCGCCCGGUUUCCGACCGGUUCUCGCUCUGCGGUUCGUCUGGCAGAGAGCCGUAGGCGACACUGUCGUCCGUUAUUUUGCUGUCAACAACAGCCUUGUUGAUAGGGCAUCUUCUGGUUGCUUGGCAGCCCAGCCCCGUCCCCCUCCCCCCUCUCGCCCACCUCUCCGUACCCCCAUCGCCAUGGGCACAGCCGGGCUGCGUCCCCCAACAUCCCUCCUGUUUCGCUCCCAUUCAGACGCCGUUUGGCAGCCCACACAAUGCCCAUUUUCUUGGCACUCGAUUGCGCGACGAAGGAGAGGGAGCCAUGGAGGGCGAGCGAGCCAAACAGAGAGAGCGAGAGACAGACCUCCGCCGUGAAACCCCCCCCCCCCCCCGCCGCGCCACCGUUCACACGGACCGAUGCCAACUGCCGUCCUUCACCCCUCCGUCAAGACGCUCCCGCUCAUAAACACCUUCCUCCUCCUCGUCGGAGCCCUUUGGAUAAUGCUUGCAACGGAUUUAUUAAUAUAGAAAUGUUUUUUUUUUAUGACAUUCUGAAAAUUUUCGCGAUUUUAAACUUUGCAAACCGCCGCUGCUGUCUGGUGUCGUAACGGAAGUUUACCAGAAGGUAGAGCGCUGUGGUUCUGCGUGCUGAAGGGCACGGAUUUCCAACUGACUUUUUUUUUACACGAGGGCAGCCAUUUUCUUUUCGCCGCCGACUUCCGUGGCAGCCUGGGAAAACACGGUUAAAGUCACGAGUCACGAGUCAGAAUAACAUCCAUGGACAUAUUGAAUGCAUAUCUCGGUAGCAUGCGCCGCUAUACGUAUGUGCGAAUCGUAGCUAUAAAAAAACACAUGGAUAUCAUCUAGAACAAUAUGUGACUGACAAAGCAUCCCUUUACUUUGCUUCAUUGGUCUUGUUUUUGUUCAUUUGUCUUUCGUUGUUAUUACUGUUUUGCGAUGUAGAUAACUAUUUACGCUAUUUUUGGAAAAAGGUAAAAUAUGACAAAAGGCUCAAUUAUUUAUUGGUGUGACUGCAUGGUAGCGUCUUCUGCAUGACCUGAAACUAAUGUGAAUGGGUUAACUUAAAAACUUCACAACAGAUUUUGGGUUUUUAUCGUCGUGGCUGGCAAACAUUACUACAAGGUUAUACUGUAACUUUGUGGCAAGACCUAACUGCAGCACGGGUUGUGUGUGUGUGUGUGUGUGUGUGUGUGUGUGUGUGUGUGUGUGUGUGUGUGUGUGUGUGUGUGUGUGUGUGUGUGUGUGUGUGUGUGCGUGUGUGUGUGUGCGCGCCUGGCCCCCAGAUAUGCUUAUCAAAGCCGCUCUACGUGGCUGGGUUCUUAUCAGUGACUAAUCCAACUGUUUCGAGGUUCUUAAGGUGUAGUCCGGCCCAACACCACAACGCACAAAGAUUGUUCGCAAUCAACACAAACGUCUCUCGCUCAUAAGGCUCAGAGAAAUGCACUUAGUGUCGCGUUCCACCCCGGGUAGCCAGUGCAGAGAGAGUUUGAUAGCAUUUUCCUUCUAAUUAAUUCAACAUCUCUAUCAAGGCCUCCCUUGCCUUUUCAGUCCCCCCCCCCAUGGCCUGGCAGUCCCCACCUCAUGGUCUGCCAAAACAUUUCAAUCACUGCUCGCCUUAAUUAGGGACCCAAGUGGAAUUCUGAAUGUUAAUGAACUGCCCAGCCGCUUCUCAACAGUUCACAUGCUAAUUUAUGCAAAGUGCCCAGGUCUUUGUAUGGUCUUUGACCAUCUCUAACAGUCAGUGUCUGGGCACAGUCAGCCCGACUUUAGUCACAAGAAGACAAAACUGUCUGGGCGAGACAAAAACCAGUCUAGCCCAGUGACGAGCAGGUCUUGUUUAAUGAGUAGUUUUCGGUUUUUCAAAAGGUGGAUGUGGCCUUUUUUCAAAACGUCAUGAAUAGGUCCUAAAUUGACCACUUUUACCACUUUUUCUGUAUUAGUGUUUGACUUAAAUACAAAAAAAAGGAUUUUACUUUUUACAAUGUCCUACUGAUAUGAAUUCUCUCACUCAAAUUUGUGGAAAAGAGACAAAAACUGCGUUUACUGUGUGUGUGUGUCUGUGUGUGUGUGUGUGUGUGUGUGUGUCUGUGUGUGUGUGUGUGUGUGUGUGUGACUGUGUGUGUGUGUGUGAUCAACUGCAUGCAAAAAACAGACUUCCUUUGACAUUCGGUUCACAUCAGAUCCUAUUUACAACUCACAUGACUCUGCAUUUGUCCGACCGAAGUUUUGGGGAGAGAUGACAGUUGCGUCAUCUCAUCACAGGGUUUAGGCCUCAUUGUUUGCACGGUUGCUUGUCUCUCAUAAAUCAAAGUGUCAGUUGAGUUCUAUUGCUAUAAAAAACACGGAGAAGGGCCAACCUGAUCAUAACCACUCACUUCGCCUUUGUUUGGGUCUUUGUCUUCUUUCUAAAAUAAUGCUUUCAAGAUAAACCGUCACCAAACUCCCUCUGCACACCGUCAGACUGACUUGUUUUGUGCUUGUCUCUUCCAGUGCGUGUCUGUGUGCAGGCUGUGCUGCCGUGCUCACCUGCAGCGGCGUCUGUUCUUGUGGCUGAGGUAGUAGAUUGAAUAGUUGUGGGGCCGAGUCCUCCCUCUGCGUUAACUAUACAAUCUACUGUCUUUCCUAAGGAGGCAGAGGAUUCACCGUCGACCUGUUGAACCCGCAUUACGGACCUGAAUCCAGGAUAUCGCAAAUUAAAUGGAUUGAUUUAGAUAGUUGUCCUACUUUUCUACUCGAGCUAGACCUUGCGAGGUGAGGUAGUAGGUUGUAUAGUUUGUGGGAUGGAUUGAAUCCUUAUUUUGGUGAUAACUAUACAGUCUAGUGCCUUUCUCGAGAGGUGUAAAGAAACGCUGUGAUGCUGUGUGCAACCAACAGUUCGGUAACGGGGCAGCGCUGCCCCCUGCUGGUCAAACUGGCGUAAGUCACAUGCAUGUGAUAAGAUGAUACAGUUACUACUGAAUUAAGUAAUAUAAUAGGCCUGCACAAAUCGCAAUAUGGAGGAUUCACAAUGAAAAAUAACAAAUGAUGAUGGAUAAUAAGAUUCUGUUUGAAAAUUGUCAAGAAUAUGUUUUCUGUUUUGUUAUUAUGAUUAAAUCCAAUACAUGUUGCACCUGUUUCUCAUAUUAAAAUACACAAUUUAAUUAGCAAGAA